rnacentral:rRNA from 1 species
UACGUAGGGGGCGAGCGUUGUCCGGAAUCAUUGGGCGUAAAGCGCGUGUAGGCGGCCCGGUAAGUCCGCUGUGAAAGUCCAGGGCUCAACCCUGGGAUGCCGGUGGAUACUGUCGGGCUCGAGUCCGGAAGAGGCGAGUGGAAUUCCUGGUGUAGCGGUGAAAUGCGCAGAUAUCAGGAAGAACACCCGUGGCGAAGGCGGCUCUCUGGGACGGUACUGACGCUGAGACGCGAAGGCCAGGGUAGCGAACGGG